rnacentral:rRNA from 1 species
UACGGAGGGAGCUAGCGUUAUUCGGAAUUACUGGGCGUAAAGCGCACGUAGGCGGCUUUGUAAGUAAGAGGUGAAAGCCCAGAGCUCAACUCUGGAAUUGCCUUUUAGACUGCAUCGCUUGAAUCAUGGAGAGGUCAGUGGAAUUCCGAGUGUAGAGGUGAAAUUCGUAGAUAUUCGCAAGAACACCAGUGGCGAAGGCGGCCAACUGGUCCGGUACUGACGCUGAGGUGGCGAAAAGC